CUCUCUCGUGCUGCCUCACCCUCUCUCUCUCUCUCAUCCUCUCUCUUUCUCUCCCUCUCUCUCUCUCUCUCUCGUGCUGUCUCUCCCUCUAUCUCUCUCUCUCUCUUUCGUGCUGCCUCUCCCUCUCUCUCGAUCUCUAUCAGUCUGUCAAUGUUCUUCUCCUCAGAUCUUCCCUCGAAAGCGUCUCCUUGGUUUUCCUUCUUUUUGUCCUCCAGGUUGUGGUUGACACAGCGCUACACUUCCCUUCCUCUCUGGAAGAGGUGAGUGUGUCAGUGAGUGGAGAAUGAGUGUGGUUCAGGAACCAUGUCGGUGAGGAGGCAGCUGAGGAGAAACUGUUUCUAUUUUCGACCCUAUUGAAGUGUUGAAAGAAAUCCAAAGCCAUGCUGACUGAACUGUGUCUGAAUUCUGAUUCUGAGUUUGACCACUUUGCUGUCGGAGCUCAGACCAGCAUAACCUUCUGCCUAAAGGAGCUGAGGGCUUGCUGGUGUUUGCAGAAUCCACAGGUCUUCCUGUCUCAUUGUAUUUUGAUGAGCGAGGCAGGUAAGGAUACACAUUCAAAUCAAAUCAAAGUUUAUUUGUCACAUGUGCCGAAUACAACAGGUUAUUACAGUGAAAUGCUUAAUUACAAGCCCCUAACUGUCACGGAUCCCUCUGGAAUUUUCAUUGCACACACCUGGCCCUUAUUCCCACUGAUUGUACUUGUAUAAGUGUGCCAUUUGGUUUCCAUUGGGCUGUCGUUUUUUGUUCCACUGUCCGUUGGUGCGUGUGAGUACCUGUGCUGUGUGUUUUGGCUUUGUGGAUUGCGCAGAUGAUUAUGGGUCUCGUCCCGUGUGUUAAUCAUUGUGCGCGUGUGUUAAUUAUUUGAGGUACUCCUCGCUCUUUUGUUUGGGUUUCAACCCUGCGUUUUGUUAUUGUGUUUGUUUGGUCUUCGUCCUGUGCCUUUACACGGCACUCCGCAAUUGGGGUACAAUAAAGACUCCUGUUACGCAUUCCUGCGUCUGUCUCCCGAAUCAUUUACCAACGU
rnacentral:lncRNA from 13 species